rnacentral:rRNA from 1 species
AACGAACGCUGGCGGCAGGCCUAACACAUGCAAGUCGAACGCUGUAGCAAUACAGAGUGGCAGACGGGUGAGUAACGCGUGGGAACAUGCCCUUCGGUUCGGAAUAACUCAGGGAAACUUGAGCUAAUACCGGAUACGUGCGAGAGCAGAAAGAUUUAUCGCCGAAGGAUUGGCCCGCGUCCGAUUAGCUAGUUGGUGAGGUAAUGGCUCACCAAGGCGACGAUCGGUAGCUGGUCUGAGAGGAUGAUCAGCCACACUGGGACUGAGACACGGCCCAGACUCCUACGGGAGGCAGCAGUGGGGAAUAUUGGACAAUGGGCGCAAGCCUGAUCCAGCCAUGCCGCGUGAGCGACGAAGGCCUUAGGGUUGUAAAGCUCUUUUGGCGGGGACGAUAAUGACGGUACCCGCAGAAUAAGCCCCGGCUAACUUCGUGCCAGCCGCCGCCGUAAUAC